rfam:Salmo salar isolate Sally breed double haploid chromosome ssa01, whole genome shotgun sequence.
UGAAUACACUCAUUGCAUGUCGCUCUGGAUAAGAGCGUCUGCUAAAUAACUAAAA